UACGUAGGGUGCGAGCGUUGUCCGGCAUUAUUGGGCGUAAAGAGCUCGUAGGCGGUUCCGUAAGUCGGAUGUGAAAACUCGGGGCUCAACCCCGAGACGCCAUCCGAUACUGCGGUGACUUGAGUCUGGUAGGGGAACACGGAAUUCCUGGUGUAGCGGUGAAAUGCGCAGAUAUCAGGAGGAACACCGAUGGCGAAGGCAGUGUUCUGGGCCAGUACUGACGCUGAGGAGCGAAAGCGUGGGGAGCAAACAGG
rnacentral:rRNA from 1 species